rnacentral:rRNA from 1 species
GAUGAACGCUAGCGGCAGGCCUAAUACAUGCAAGUCGAACGGGAUCUGAGGGUAGCUUGCUACCCGAUUUGAGAGUGGCGCACGGGUGCGUAACGCGUGAGCAACCUACCCAUAUCAGGGGGAUAGCCCGAAGAAAUUCGGAUUAACACCGCAUAAUAAUACGCUAACACAUGUUGAUGUAUUUAAAUAUUUAUAGGGUAUGGAUGGGCUCGCGUGACAUUAGCUAGUUGGUAAGGUAACGGCUUACCAAGGCGACGAUGUCUAGGGGCUCUGAGAGGAGAAUCCCCCACACUGGUACUGAGACACGGACCAGACUCCUACGGGAGGCAGCAGUAAGGAAUAUUGGUCAAUGGGCGCAAGCCUGAACCAGCCAUGCCGCGUGCAGGAUGACUGCCCCAUGGGUUGUAAACUGCUUUUGUUAGGGAAUAAACCUUCUUACGUGUAAGGAGCUGAAUGUACCUAAAGAAUAAGGAUCGGCUAACUCCGUGCCAGCAGCCGCCGUAA